rnacentral:rRNA from 1 species
GUGGGGAAUAUUGGACAAUGGGCGAAAGCCUGAUCCAGCCAUGCCGCGUGUGUGAAGAAGGUCUUCGGAUUGUAAAGCACUUUAAGUUGGGAGGAAGGGCAGUAAGUUAAUACCUUGCUGUUUUGACGUUACCGACAGAAUAAGCACCGGCUAACUUCGUGCCAGCAGCCGCGGUAAUACGAAGGGUGCAAGCGUUAAUCGGAAUUACUGGGCGUAAAGCGCGCGUAGGUGGUUCAGCAAGUUGGAGGUGAAAUCCCCGGGCUCAACCUGGGAACUGCCUCCAAAACUACUGGGCUAGAGUACGGUAGAGGGUAGUGGAAUUUCCUGUGUAGCGGUGAAAUGCGUAGAUAUAGGAAGGAACACCAGUGGCGAAGGCGACUACCUGGACUGAUACUGACACUGAGGUGCGAAAGCGUGGGGAGCAAACAGGAUUAGAUACCCCAGUAGUCC